rnacentral:tRNA from 1 species
GGAUUGUGGCUCAGUGGUAGAGCACUCGCCUCGUCUGUGCGAGACCCUGGGUUUGAUCCUUAGCACCA